GACCAAGAGAGAGAGAGACAGACAAACAGAGAGAGGGAGAGAGGAGACGCUUUCCCAAUAUAUUUUGUUCUGUAUCCCAUUUUUGUAAAAACUUAAUAUAUUGUGAACAUUUUUCAAAUAUUUUACUAUGGUGUUAUUUUUACUGGUAAUAAUGUAGAUGUUUUAUUGAAUAAAUUUACCAUAUUUUAUUUAACCAGCUCCCUUUUUGUUGGACAUUUUAAUUUUUUCAAACUUUCACCAAUACCAAGCAUAAAACAAAAAAGAAAAAGGGGAUAGAAAGAGAGAGAGGAGGGAGUAGGGUAGAAGGAAAGAGCAAGGAAGGAAACUGCAAAAAUAUUUUGUGACACACAUACAUUUCCUUAGGAUACAUUUUCUUUUUUCUUUUUUUUUUUUAGGAUACAUUUUAUUAUCAUUAUACCAGUGUUGAAUUUCUAGUUAAAAGGUAUGUGCUUUUCAGACAUUUUGUCAAAGAGCAGUUGAGAACUGCUCUAAAACCCUCUCUAACACUGAUGUUGUCUUUUUAAAUAAUCCUUAUCAAUUCAACAGGCAAAAAAGACACUUUAAUAUUGUUUUAAUUUGCAUUUUAUUACAGAUGAAUACAAUUCAUCUUUAUUGACCCCCCCUCUUUUUUUUUUUUAAAUUUACUUAUUCAUUUGGCAGUUCUGGGUCUUAGUUGUGACAUGUGACCUCUUAGUUGCAGGAUAUGAGAUCUCGUUCCCUCACCAGAGGAGGAACCUCAGCUCUCUGCGUUGGGAACGAGGAGUCUUAGCCGCUGGACUAACAGCAACUAUGUGGAAGAUGAAGAGAUGUCAGUUCAAAUGCCAGAAAGAUACUAAAUGAAUCGUCGGCUUU